AUUGAACGCUGGCGGCAGGCCUAACACAUGCAAGUCGAGCGGAUGAAGGGAGCUUGCUCCUGGUUUCAGCGGCGGACGGGUGAGUAAUGCCUAUGAAUCUGCCUGGUAGUGGGGGAUAACGUCCGGAAACGGGCGCUAAUACCGCAUACGUCCUGAGGGAGAAAGUGGGGGAUCUUCGGACCUCACGCUAUCAGAUGAGCCUAGGUCGGAUUAGCUAGUUGGUGGGGUAAAGGCCUACCAAGGCGACGAUCCGUAACUGGUCUGAGAGGAUGAUCAGUCACACUGGAACUGAGACACGGUCCAGACUCCUACGGGAGGCAGCAGUGGGGAAUAUUGGACAAUGGGCGAAAGCAUGAUCCAGCCAUGCCGCGUGUGUGAAGAAGGUCUUCGGAUUGUAAAGCACUUUAAGUUGGGAGGAAGGGCAGUAAGUUAAUACCUUGCUGUUUUGACGUUACCAACAGAAUAAGCACCGGCUAACUUCGUG
rnacentral:rRNA from 1 species